rnacentral:lncRNA from 1 species
CAAGAGGCUGGCAGAGGUUUCACUCCCUGCAGUGCUGAGGCCUGCUGGGUGGCAGAAGUCACAAAGGAAGAGGUUAAACUGAGAGGCUUCCAAUGAUGUAACCAGAGAUGGACUUUUGAGCAAAAACAAGUAAACAAUACGUGAUUUACUGAGAACCUAUACGUUCGAUAUCAUGACGCUAGCAAGGAAAACAGCAAUUGAUCAUCAGUACCUAAGACU